rnacentral:rRNA from 1 species
CUAUACAUGCAGUCGAGCGGACAGAAGGGAGCUUGCUCCCGGAUGUUAGCGGCGGACGGGUGAGUAACACGUGGGUAACCUGCCUGUAAGACUGGGAUAACUCCGGGAAACCGGAGCUAAUACCGGAUAGUUCCUUGAACCGCAUGGUUCAAGGAUGAAAGACGGUUUCGGCUGUCACUUACAGAUGGACCCGCGGCGCAUUAGCUAGUUGGUGAGGUAACGGCUCACCAAGGCGACGAUGCGUAGCCGACCUGAGAGGGUGAUCGGCCACACUGGGACUGAGACACGGCCCAGACUCCUACGGGAGGCAGCAGUAGGGAAUCUUCCGCAAUGGACGAAAGUCUGACGGAGCAACGCCGCGUGAGUGAUGAAGGUUUUCGGAUCGUAAAGCUCUGUUGUUAGGGAAGAACAAGUGCAAGAGUAACUGCUUGCACCUUGACGGUACCUAACCAGAAAGCCACGGCUAACUACGUGCCAGCAGCCGCGGUAAUACGUAGGUGGCAAGCGUUGUCCGGAAUUAUUGGGCGUAAAGGGCUCGCAGGCGGUUUCUUAAGUCUGAUGUGAAAGCCCCCGGCUCAACCGGGGAGGGUCAUUGGAAACUGGGAAACUUGAGUGCAGAAGAGGAGAGUGGAAUUCCACGUGUAGCGGUGAAAUGCGUAGAGAUGUGGAGGAACACCAGUGGCGAAGGCGACUCUCUGGUCUGUAACUGACGCUGAGGAGCGAAAGCGUGGGGAGCGAACAGGAUUAGAUACCCU